CGCGGUCCGAGUUGUAAUUUGUAGAGGAUGCUUCGAGCAUGGUCCGGUCUAAGUUCCUUGGANCAGGACGUCAUAGAGGGUGAGAAUCCCGUAUGCGACUGGGUGCCUAAGCUCAUGUGAAGCUCCUUCAACGAGUCGAGUUGUUUGGGAAUGCAGCUCAAAAUGGGUGGUAAAUUUCAUCUAAAGCUAAAUACUGGCCAGAGACCGAUAGCGCACAAGUAGAGUGAUCGAAAGAUGAAAAGCACUUUGGAAAGAGAGUUAAACAGUACGUGAAAUUGUUGAAAGGGAAGCGCUUGCAACCAGACUUGCAUGCAGUCGAUCAUCCGAUGUUCUCACCGGUGCACUCGAUUGUGUUCAGGCCAGCAUCGGUUUUGGUGGCUAGAUAAAGGCCUUGGGAAUGUAGGUCCCUUUUGGGGGUGUUAUAGCCCUUGGUGCAAUGUAGCCUACUGGGACCGAGGACCGCGCUUCGGCUAGGAUGCUGGCGUAAUGGUUGUAAGCGACC
rnacentral:rRNA from 1 species